rnacentral:tRNA from 1 species
UGGGAUUUGGCUUAAUGGUAGAGUACUGGCCUAGUAUGCAUGAAGCCCUGGGUUUAAUCCCCAGCACCACAA